AGCCAAUCAGAUAACCGCCACAUUGCACUGACCGAUCAUAGUAUGGUCUCGCUCCAACCAAUCAGGUUUGUUUUUACAGGAAAGGAGUCAUGCUGCGUAUAUAAUCUAACAGCAUCGUUAUAAAAACAUGUAAAAGAAAACCAGCAACGUUAUGGGUCAUCAGUGCACAGUUAUUAUUAAUGCACCAAUGUAUCAGCCGUUAAAGCCUAUUUUUCACGCUAUCAGCUGAUACUUUAAAAACAUCCGAUGUUCAGGGUCGAUUGUAUCCAGUCAAUAAAAAGAAAGCGGGAAAAGACACGAGUUUCGUGCUGUGUGUAAAGAUGAUGUGUUUUGUGUAGAAUGAUGACAAAACUGCAGUUUGUAAGCUCUGUAAUCUCUGCACUGCUAAAAAUUUACACCGGAAGUGAACAGCAGUGAAGCGGGAGUUUCGGCGUCUAGUCUUUUUUUUUUUUGCCGCACUGCUCGAGUUGAAUUAAAGGGCCAGUACACCAUUGAAAGAUUUAAAUGCAGAUGAGUUAACAAAAAGUAUAUAUUGCACAGAAAAAUAUAUUUGUAGAGUAGUAUAUUUCAUAUCCAGUUAAUGUUAAUAUAUAAAAAGUCUAUAUUAUAUAUGACCAGUGUGAUGUUCAGUGAUGAAGUAGAAAUGCUUGUAGUAAACUGCCAGUGUGAAAGCCCCGUAACUGUGCUCAUCUUACAAUAAUAUAAACAGCACAUGGCCUACAGAAUGAACUCAUCAUUUAAUGUUAGCGUGCUAGCAAAAUAUAAGCUCUGGUUUGAAGGGAAAAGGGGUUAUUCUGCUUUUCCUUAGACCCUGCACUGCUAAGUUUAGCUAGCGAAUUACAAUAUAGUGUUGAGAGUCAAACUAUCAUGCCUGGUUUUGUAUUCUCUGUGUGUUUCUGUUGCCUAAUCUAUGUGGUUUGUUUUCCAGCCUGUUAAACAACCAGUCGCACUAAUACACUCUGAGCAGUGGGUAAAAACACACAGACACACAGAUCAGGGCUUGAACCACUCACUCUUGCUUAAUUUAAGCACAUUAGAAAUGCAAAACUAUGUCAAAACUCAACCUCUCCAGUUAGAUCAGCUAUCAAGUUCUCUUGCACAACAACUUUGAUACAAACUCGCAUAAAGCAGCCCCUCGCAGGAACGAACGCGAAACCGAGGCAACUGGAGCUUUGGAGAUUUUCUGCAGCUUUGGGCCAAGACACAUGUGACGUCAUGACGAUGCACGUUCAGCCAAAGCCCUCUUCAAUUCGCAUAUGUCGAGCAUGAGUACAACUGAAAGGUUGCAUUCGCCAACAAACAUCGCUGUGAAAGAGCACAACAAUUUAGUGCAAUUGCAAGUUCACCAGUGCAAGUAGUUUUCCGCACAAAAAAGUCAGCGGAAUAGCCGGGCUGUCACCUGUCAUUCACUGGCUUCCCAGGAAAUUAGAGAACAAUGAAAUGCCUUAUCUGUUCAGCAGUAACAAAGCUAACACUGCAUCAGUCCUGAAGCCCUUUUCCUCCUAUAGUGUAGCAUCACACUCUUUUACUCUCGCA
ensembl:lncRNA